UCCUGGUUACAAAAUAGGCAAAGAAAAAUGCGUCGUUAAAACUGGUUGCGAGGAUUAUGGAGGGAAAGAGGCGUGUCAAAAGAAAGGAGAUUUCUUUACUUGCAAUAAUGAAAAAAUAAAUGCCUCUAAAUACACGUGCGACUGCAUUCCUGGAUACAAAAAAGAAAAAGAAAUAUGCAUUGUUAAAACUGGU